CUGGGGUUGGCUCAAUGGCAGAGCGCUCGCCUAGCAUGUGUGAGGCACUGGGUUCAUUCCUCAGUGCCAUAUA
rnacentral:tRNA from 1 species